rnacentral:RNase_P_RNA from 1 species
GGAGUCGGCCGGACGGUCGCUGCUGCCGCAAGGCAGGGGAGGAAAGUCCGGGCUCCACAGGGCAGAGUGCCAGGUAACGCCUGGGCGGCGCGAGCCGACGGANNGUGGCAAGGGUGAAACGGUGCGGUAAGAGCGCACCACGAGUCUGGUAACAGACCGGUACGGCAAACCCCACUCGGAGCAAGACCAAAUAGGGUUCCAUUUGCGCGGCCCGCGCAGGAACCGGGUAGGUUGCUUGAGCCCACUGGUGACGGUGGGCCUAGAGGAAUGAUCGUUCUCGACAGAACCCGGCUUACAGGCCGACUCCACUU